AAAAUGGCUGCGUUUGCGUAAAUUCCUUUGAUGAUAACACGCCUGUCGAUGACUUGGCAUAUGAUCUUGAUUCGGCAAACACGUACGCACGUUGCUGCGGCUUCCCCUAACGUCCAGAAACCACCCCCUUGUUAUGGAUAUAUAUACUGGGCUCGGCUUCGAUGCCUCGGAAGAAGCACGCUAUCAGACGAAAAGUAAGAGUUUUCCACAGCCUUCUGCAAGAUGAAGUCCCAAACUACUGCCCUGGUCCUUCUGGUCUCCCUGUGCGUGGCGUCUAUACCAGCCAUGGCUUCUUGCCCCAGCAAUGAGGGUGUCGGCAGUGACUGCUCCUUCAGCCAGUGUACGCCAGAUGAAUGCGAGGCCGAGGGCCUUGAGUGCUGCCCCAAACCAUGUGGUGGUUCCUGGUGCGUUGAAGGGGUUCACUAGCAGCUUGACGCAACAAUAUUCGAAGCGAUGUCUGCAGCACUUCCUCGUCUGGCCAGGUGGAUCGCACUCCAGUAUUGCCCCGUUUUUGCUGCAGCAUGGAAUGAACGCUUGUCGCAACAUGA